AGCAAGGGCACUCUGUGUUAACAUAAUUCAAUAUGAUAAUAACAAUUUGUAACCUUGCAACAAUAAAUCUGCCGAACCCUAUUCCAAACAGCUGAUGUAUGUAGCUAUUUGGUCAUAUUGGCAUGCACAUUUA